UACAGAGGUCUCAAGCGUUGUUCGGAUUCAUUGGGCGUAAAGGGUGCGUAGGUGGCGACCCAAGUCCAUGGUGAAAGCUCGAUGCUCAACAUCGAGUCGGCCACGGAUACUGGGUUGCUUGAGCACUGUAGAGGCUAAUGGAAUUCCGGGUGUAGCGGUGGAAUGCGUAGAGAUCCGGAAGAACACCGGUGGCGAAGGCGGUUAGCUGGGCAGUUGCUGACACUGAGGCGCGACAGCGUGGGGAGCAAACAGG
rnacentral:rRNA from 1 species